rnacentral:lncRNA from 1 species
GGAAAUGAUUCAAAGAGAAAAACAGGAAUAUCAAUGGGAUGUAGCAAUAUGCUGUGUGCAUACAUGCAGAACCAGCUUCUUUUUGCAGAACUCAAACUUCAUUUGGAUCCGUCUGAUGUUGUCAGAAACUUCACUCUGAUCUCUAACGAGGAGCUACACGUGCCAUUCAAUUCAUCUUUCUAAGGUUGUGUAAUAAGUCACAGCAAGGGCAUCUAAUCAUUUCUAGGACGUGACAACAUUUGGUUCAGAUUCCCUUAUCAGCAUCACCUUUCCUUCUGCCUCUACCUCAUCCUUAAAGAAGACCAGGCGAUGGGCCUUAGAGAUCAGUCACACGUCGACCGCUUCUUCAAACACUUCACGUGGGAAACCGUUCAGAGGCAUGAUUGCUGAGCUGCAGACCUGGAAAAUAACUGUCAUCGAGACCUUUACAUCUGUCAAAGGAAUUUCAGCCCGGUGACACUGCUUUGCCCCUACUUUUUUUUAACUUUAGCAAGCUAUUGGGUUCUUUAUAACUCCAGCAUUGCAUUGCUUUGGGAAGGGCUCUAUUUCACAUGAAUACUUUAGCCAAGAAUUAGUUACUCACCUUUAAAACAAAAAAAAUUGUAUUGUGUGCUGUAACUCAGCUGAAGCCACGCUCUUUGUUUUCUUUGUUCCUGUUGCUUUGCAGAGGAACCACCCACCUCUCCAGUGUGGGUGUGCCUCUACGGAGGAUGGCUAGAGCAGGCCACGAGAGGGAAGUCUGCGGCCAGGUUGCACCAGGCUAGGCCCUUUCCUGGGGGCCAGUGGUGCUCCCAUGGGCAGCAUCUCUGCUGAGGACCAUGGCCCAAACACCUCCUGCUGCCACGUGCCCGCUGGCCUGUUGGAUACUCGAAUAGGGUCCCAGACUAUCCCCGCUGAACCAGCACUUCCCACGGGAGCUGGGUGGGAGUAGGAAUAGCGGUCCCAACCCAGUCGUGUCUGGGCAGGAGGCAUGGCUCUGCUCAGGAGUAUAUCAUCUUAGCCUAUGUGUGGCUUUACAUAGAUGAGUUCGAGACCUGCUUUGUUUGGUAGAAGCAAAGGCUGGAGUGCACUGAAAUGUUUUGCUAAAUAAAGAUAGACUCAGGUCCA